UACGAGGGGGGCAAGCGUUGUUCGGAAUUAUUGGGCGUAAAGGGCGCGUAGGCGGUGCGGUAAGACUGUGGUGAAAUCUUCGGGCUCAACUCGAAGCCUGCCGCGGUGACUGCCGUGCUCGAGUGUGGGAGAGGUGAGUGGAAUUCCCGGUGUAGCGGUGAAAUGCGUAGAUAUCAAGUGGAACACCAGUGGCGAAGGCGAGUCCCUGGACACUUCCUGACACUGAGGCACGAAAGCUAGGGGAGCAAACAGG
rnacentral:rRNA from 1 species